rnacentral:rRNA from 1 species
CUUGGCGACCAUAGUGCUGUAGUCCCACCUGUAUCCAUUCCGAACACAGAAGUGAAAUGCAGUCACGCCGAUGGUAGUGCAACGAACGAUUGUGCGAGAGUAGGUCAUCGCCAAGC